GUUAAACUCUAUCCUUCCAAAGAAUGAAACCUUUGGACCUUUCAGAGGUCCCAGAAUUUGGCAGCACCAGAGUUGGUUGCUUCAUGUGCCCAAAAGGAUUUUUGCCUUUUCUACUAAAAUAUAAUGACUGAUAAAGAGGAUUCAACUCUGAAAUGAACAAAUACUUUACAACUUUAUUUAAAAAGUAAGAGAAGGAAGCCAACAUGGUGCCAUGGUUUGAACAUUGGAUGACGGGUCUGGAGACCAGAGUUUGGAUUCUCAUCUAGCUAUGGUGACUUUGGGCAAGUCACAAUUUUUGAGCUGCAAAUGCAAUCCCCUUCUGAACAAAUCUUGCCAAGAAAAGUCCAUGAUAGGUCAAUCUUAGGGUCGCCAUAAAUCAGAAAUAUUAAUAUCAACAGCAGCAGCGGCAACAACAAAAACAAAAGAAAGAGAAGCCCGAGUUGUAGAGGGCCAGAAGUGACUCAUUUGCAAGACGAAGCUCAUUUUUCUAAAAAUGCAGGCAUUCAUUUCUCAUCCCAGUCUUCUACUUUUCUUUUUCCAAAACCCAAGACUGGUACAACAAAAACUUCACACAAACAAGUGGUAAGACUGUAUGUACAUUGUUUUAAUCAGAUAAUUUUUAAAAAACAAAGCAGUGCCCAGACACUUUUGGAUUAAGCUGAAAAGUAGACGGUCCAAACCACUAUUCUAAUUUCCUCCUUAUUUCAUGAUAGAAUGGAGAACUGUAAGGAAGUCUGUUUCUGAACUGCCCAGAUUUUGGGAAGCACCAUAGCUUUGACUCCUCUCAGUCCUUCUUUUGGCAGCAUUUCAGUCUCAGAUGGUGACAGUUACUGAUCUCUACUUCAUUGGAGAGGCAUUGGACAUUCCGGCAUACUCCUUUUUUAUUCCAGCAGAGCCUGACAGGACACUCUGAAAGCUGCCAGGAUCUGGGAGGCUACUGCCAGAUCCCUUUAAGGAAGAAAUGCCCCUAUGGAUCACUUCCGGCCAACUGUGGCAUCAAUGCCAAAUGCUGCAAAACUCAACCACCAACAACAAGGGACUGUGCUGCUCUGGGAGGAUACUGCCACGUGCCACUGAGUGAAGAAUGUCCCUCUGGUGAAGAUCUUCCAGCCAACUGUGGUAUCAAUGGAAGGUGCUGCAAAUCAUGAUCUGAGAUUCAGACCUUUGCUUGCGGAAAGAAGCCACCCUGAACAAUGCUUUGGAAAUAGUCACGAAAGAAUCCAAUCAUCAGCUAAUUAAAUCCAGAUUAAAUGUGUACAUUGUAACCCUUUUCUAAUGCACAAUACAAGUUAUACUGUGGUCUUGAUAGAAUGUUGUCUCUUCUGGUUUCAGUUCGGUUCACAUUAAU
rnacentral:lncRNA from 11 species